GCUGAAAUAUCUCAGUUGGGAGAGCGUUAGUUUGAAAAUCUAAAGGUCUUUGGUUCGAUCCCAGAUUUUGGCA